rnacentral:rRNA from 1 species
UAGGGAAUCUUCCGCAAUGGACGAAAGUCUGACGGAGCAACGCCGCGUGAGCGAUGAAGGCCUUCGGGUCGUAAAGCUCUGUUGUUAGGGAAGAACAAGUGCUAGUUGAAUAAGCUGGCACCUUGACGGUACCUAACCAGAAAGCCACGGCUAACUACGUG